GAAAUGCGAUACGUAAUGUGAAUUGCAGAAUUCAGUGAAUCAUCGAAUUUUUGAACGCAUAUUGCACCUUAGAGUAUUCUCCAAGGUAUACUUGUUUGAGCGUCGUUUAAUAUCUAAAGCUUUUGCUUUGUGUUGGAAUUUGGCUUUACUCUUUCAGUAGUCAAUUUCCUAAACAUAGUGGUAUUAUUUCUUUAGCUAGUAUGCAGUGAAAAUGUAUAUUGGUUUAAUGAAAUACUAUUAUCCAACGAUAAUUAAAACUCAUUUGUUCGACCUCAAAUCAAGUAAGAUUACCCGCUGAACUUAA
rnacentral:misc_RNA from 1 species